AACAGGAUUAGAUACCCUGGUAGUCCACGCCGUAAACGGUGGGAACUAGGUGUUGGCGACAUUCCACGUCGUCGGUGCCGCAGCUAACGCAUUAAGUUCCCCGCCUGGGGAGUACUGCCGCAAGGCUAAAACUCAAAGGAAUUGACAGGGGCCCGCACAAGCAGCGGAGCAUGUGGCUUAAUUCGACGCAACGCGAAGAACCUUACCAAGGCUUGACAUACACCGGAAAGCAUCAGAGAUGGUGCCCCCCUUGUGGUCGGUGUACAGGUGGUGCAUGGCUGUCGUCAGCUCGUGUCGUGAGAUGUUGGGUUAAGUCCCGCAACGAGCGCAACCCUUGUUCUGUGUUGCCAGCAUGCCCUUCGGGGUGAUGGGGACUCACAGGAGACCGCCGGGGUCAACUCGGAGGAAGGUGGGGACGACGUCAAGUCAUCAUGCCCCUUAUGUCUUGGGCUGCACACGUGCUACAAUGGCAGGUACAAUGAGCUGCGAUACCGUGAGGUGGAGCGAAUCUCAAAAAGCCUGUCUCAGUUCGGAUUGGGGUCUGCAACUCGACCCCAUGAAGUCGGAGUUGCUAGUAAUCGCAGAUCAGCAUUGCUGCGGUGAAUACGUUCCCGGGCCUUGUACACACCGCCCGUCACGUCACGAAAGUCGGUAACACCCGAAGCCGGUGGCCCAACCCCUUGUGGGAGGGAGCUGUCGAAGGUGGGACUGGCGAUUGGGACGAAGUCGUAACAAGGUAACC
rnacentral:rRNA from 1 species